AUGUGUGUGUGUAUGUGUGUAUGUAUGUACACACAUGUGUAUGUAUACAUACGUAUGUACAUACAUGUGUAUGUAUACAUAUGUAUGUA
rnacentral:miRNA from 1 species